rnacentral:rRNA from 1 species
AGCAGCAGCCACGGUAAUACAGAGGGUGCGAGCGUUAAUCGGAUUUACUGGGCGUAAAGCGUGCGUAGGCGGCUUCUUAAGUCGGAUGUGAAAUCCCUGAGCUUAACUUAGGAAUUGCAUUCGAUACUGGGAAGCUAGAGUAUGGGAGAGGAUGGUAGAAUUCCAGGUGUAGCGGUGAAAUGCGUAGAGAUCUGGAGGAAUACCGAUGGCGAAGGCAGCCAUCUGGCCUAAUACUGACGCUGAGGUACGAAAGCGUGGGGAGCAAACAGGAUUAGAUACCCCAGUAGUCCCUGUCUCUUAUAU